GCCGGCUCAUAAACAACGUAAAAAUUUUCUUACAACAUAGGAACUUUGAAAAAAAGAAGACAAGCAAAAGCAGCAAACCAAAAUUUUCAGGUUAGGAGCAAUAGAUGAUAACACCACAGUUUUUUAAACGACAGAACCAGGUCAGAAUGCUCCACAUAUAGCAACAUUGAUCUUGAAAUGAGCACCAUCAUCAGUAAUUUUUUGCUAGAUCACGAAGGC
rnacentral:misc_RNA from 1 species